GAUCCUGGCUCAGAUUGAACGCUGGCGGAAUGCUUUACACAUGCAAGUCGAACGGUAGAGGGGGCAACCCCUCGAGAGUGGCGAACGGGUGAGUAAUAUAUCGGAACGUGCCCAGUCGUGGGGGAUAACGCAGCGAAAGCUGUGCUAAUACCGCAUACGAUCUCUGGAUGAAAGCGGGGGACUCGCAAGGGCCUCGCGCGAUUGGAGCGGCCGAUAUCAGAUUAGCUAGUUGGCGGGGUAAAGGCCCACCAAGCCGACGAUCCAUAGCUGGUUUGAGAGGAUGAUCAGCCACACUGGGACUGAGACACGGCCCAGACUCCUACGGGAGGCAGCAGUGGGGAAUAUUGGACAAUGGGCGAAAGCCUGAUCCAGCAAUGCCGCGUGAGUGAUGAAGGCCUUAGGGUUGUAAAGCUCUUUUACCCGAGAUGAUAAUGACAGUAUCGGGAGAAUAAGCUCCGGCUAACUCCGUG
rnacentral:rRNA from 1 species